rnacentral:rRNA from 1 species
GACGAACGCUGGCGGCGUGCCUAAUACAUGCAAGUAGAACGAGUUGCGAACGGGUGAGUAACGCGUGGUAACCUGCCUCAUAGCGGGGGAUAACUAUUGGAAACGAUAGCUAAUACCGCAUACUGUGAGAUGGACCUGCGUUGUAUUAGCUAGUAGGUGGGGUAACGGCUCACCUAGGCGACGAUCCCUAGCGGGUCUGAGAGGAGGACCGGCCAAACUGGAACGGAGACACGGUCCAGACUCCUACGGGAGGCAGCAGUGGGGAAUAUUGCACAAGGGGCGCAAGCCUGAUGCAGCCAUGCCGCGUGUAUGAAGAAGGCCUUCGGGUUGUAAAGUACUGUCAGCGAGGAGGCGUUACUCGCAGAAGAAGCACCGGCUAACUCCGUGCCAGCCGCCGCGGUAAUAC